rnacentral:rRNA from 4 species
CAACGACUCUCGACAACGGAUAUCUCGGCUCUCGCAUCGAUGAAGAACGUAGCGAAAUGCGAUACUUGGUGUGAAUUGCAGAAUCCCGUGAACCAUCGAGUCUUUGAACGCAAGUUGCGCCCGAAGCCACUAGGCUGAGGGCACGUCUGCCUGGGUGUCACGC